UACGAAGGGGGGCUAGCGUUGCUCGGAAUCACUGGGCGUAAAGGGCGCGUAGGCGGCCAUUCAAGUCGGGGGUGAAAGCCCAGGGCUCAACCCUGGAAUUGCCUUCGAUACUGUUUGGCUAGAGACCGGAAGAGGUAAGUGGAACUGCGAGUGUAGAGGUGAAAUUCGUAGAUAUUCGCAAGAACACCAGUGGCGAAGGCGGCUACUGGCCCGGUAUCGUGACGC
rnacentral:rRNA from 1 species